GGCUCCAUGGGCGGCAGCAAUAACAACAAUGCCUUCGGUAACGUAAACAACGGCCACAUGGGCAUCCACUUCAACGGAUAAAACAACAAUUUCAAGUCAGCGGCCCUGGGAUGAUGAAUUAAUAAGAGACACGCUGAUGAAACCAAGUUUGAUGAACCGGCGACGAUGCCAUUACGCUUCCCAUGCUGCUGCCUCUCACCUCUCCUGACCAAUCAAAUGCCACAUGAGAAUCGUCAAUCGGACUGAUUGGGACUCUA